GGCAGACGGGUGAGUAACGCGUGGGAACGUACCUUUUGGUUCGGAACAACAC
rnacentral:rRNA from 1 species